AGCGAACGCUGGCGGCAGGCCUAAUACAUGCAAGUCGAACGGAUCCUUCGGGAUUAGUGGCGGACGGGUGAGUAACACGUGGGAACGUGCCCUUUGGUUCGGAACAACUCAGGGAAACUUGAGCUAAUACCGGAUAAGCCCUUCGGGGAAGGAUUAUCGCCAUUGGAGCGGCCCGCGUCUGAUUAGCUAGUUGGUGGGUAAAGGACCUACCAAGGCGACGAUCAGUAGCUGGUCUGAGAGGAUGAUCAGCCACACUGGGACUGAGACACGGCCCAGACUCCUACGGGAGGCAGCAGUAGGGAAUCUUGCGCAAUGGGCGAAAGCCUGACGCAGCCAUGCCGCGUGAAUGAUGAAGGUCUUAGGAUUAGU
rnacentral:rRNA from 1 species